UGAGAGAAACAAAGAAAGUCGAAAAAAAUUGACUAUGCCACACACAUCAGGGAGAAAAAGUCAUUCUCAAAUUAUAGACGAUAUGACAAAGAUGAAUAAUGGUGUAAAGCCAACUCGUAUUGAGGUGUUCAAAAAAACUCACAUUAGAGCGAAUAAACAACCAGUAAAUGAGAUAGCUGGUGAAGUUAUGAAACAAAUGGAUGAUCUUUGCCGAGGU